CGACCGCUGGCGGCAUGCCUACCACAUGCAAGUCGAACGAGACCUUCGGGUCUAGUGGCGCACGGGUGCGCAACGCGUGGGAACCUGCCCUUAGGUUCGGAAUAACUCCCCGAAAGGGGUGCUAAUACCGGAUAAUGUCUUCGGACCAAAGAUUUAUCGCCUUUGGAUGGGCCCGCGUUGGAUUAGCUAGUUGGUAGGGUAAAAGCCUACCAAGGCGACGAUCCAUAGCUGGUCUGAGAGGAUGAUCAGCCACACUGGGACUGAGACACGGCCCAGACUCCUACGGGAGGCAGCAGUGGGGAAUAUUGGACAAUGGGCGAAAGCCUGAUCCAGCAAUGCCGCGUGAGUGAUGAAGGCCUUAGGGUUGUAAAGCUCUUUUACCCGGGAUGAUAAUGACAGUACCGGGAGAAUAAGCUCCGGCUAACUCCGUG
rnacentral:rRNA from 1 species